GACGAACGCUGGCGGCGUGCCUAAUACAUGCAAGUCGAGCGGACUUACAAAGCUUGCUUUUUAAGUUAGCGGCGGACGGGUGAGUAACACGUGGGCAACCUGCCUGUAAGACUGGGAUAACUUCGGGAAACCGGAGCUAAUACCGGAUAAUCCUUUUCUACUCAUGUAGAAAAGCUGAAAGACGGUUUACGCUGUCACUUACAGAUGGGCCCGCGGCGCAUUAGCUAGUUGGUGAGGUAACGGCUCACCAAGGCGACGAUGCGUAGCCGACCUGAGAGGGUGAUCGGCCACACUGGGACUGAGACACGGCCCAGACUCCUACGGGAGGCAGCAGUAGGGAAUCUUCCGCAAUGGACGAAAGUCUGACGGAGCAACGCCGCGUGAGUGAUGAAGGUGUUCGGAUCGUAAAACUCUGUUGUUAGGGAAGAACAAGUACGAGAGUAACUGCUCGUACCUUGACGGUACCUAACCAGAAAGCCACGGCUAACUACGUG
rnacentral:rRNA from 1 species